AUACUUACCUGGCAGGGGACCGAUUACCCUGAUCAAGAAGGUGGUCAACCAGGCGAGGCUUAACAUGUGCACACGCCGUAUCGUGACCCACUGCGAAUCCCAAAGCUUGGAAGCUGACUGCAAAUUGUUUGUAGUGGGGGACUGCUGCUUCGCGCUCUCCCCCA